CAGCCGCCGCGGGAACACGAAGGGUGCAAGCGUUACUCGGAAUUACUGGGCGUAAAGCGUGCGUAGGUGGUGGUUUAAGUCCGUUGUGAAAGCCCUGGGCUCAACCUGGGAAUUGCAGUGGAUACUGGAUCACUAGAGUGUGGUAGAGGAUAGUGGAAUUUCCGGUGUAGCAGUGAAAUGCGUAGAGAUCGGAAGGAACAUCUGUGGCGAAGGCGACUAUCUGGGCCAACACUGACACUGAGGCACGAAAGCGUGGGGAGCAAACAGGAUUAGAUACCCGAGUAGUCCCUGUCUCUUAUAC
rnacentral:rRNA from 1 species